rnacentral:rRNA from 1 species
UUUUUAAUUGGGAUCUUGUAUGAAUGAUUGAACAAGAGAAAGUCUGUCUUUAUAUUAAACUUUGAAUUUAACUUUUAAGUGAAAAGGCUUAAAUAUUCUAAAGGGACGAUAAGACCCUAUAAAACUUUACAUUGAUGAUUAAUAUUUUUUUAAUUUUUAUUAUAACUAUUAAUUUAAUUUUUAUUGUUUUGUUGGGGAGACAAAAGCUAUAAUUUAUAUUAACUGCUUAACAAGGAAUCAAUAAGUUUAUGAGUGAGUAUUAGAAGAUCCUUUAUAAAGAUUGAAAGAUUAAGUUACUUUAGGGAUAACAGCGUUAUUUUUUUUGAGAGUUCAUAUCGAAAAAAAAGAUUGCGACCUCGAUGUUGAAUUAAAAUAUCUUUAUAAUGUAGGUGUUAUAGAAGAAGGUCUGUUCGACCUUUAAUUUUUUA